rnacentral:lncRNA from 1 species
ACAGAGUAUUGGGACCCGACCAGUGUUCCACAGCCUUGAUGGGUGGUGCCUUGGGGGGGAUGGGGGCAGUGACAUGGAGCGACUGUAGCGUUGUUGAGGCGUGUGACUUCGGGGGCCCCUGCCCGUCGGUUGGGUUGGAGCCGUGGCUGUUGCGUUUUGCGGGUUCCUGCUGGGGGGUGCGCCUCUGCAGUGCAUGGGUGCGGAGUUCUUGGGGGAACUUGCUCGUUUGGUCUGCUGUGAGUCUUGUUUCUCGUACAGGGGGAGGUUCUUUGAACAGUUGCGAAGGGUCGUGAUCGGGGGCCCAGUGGCGGGUGCC